rnacentral:rRNA from 1 species
UUGAUCAUGGCUCAGAUUGAACGCUGGCGGCAUGCCUUACACAUGCAAGUCGAACGGUAGAGUAGCAAUACUUGAGAGUGGCGAACGGGUGAGUAAUAUAUCGGAACGUGCCCAGUCGUGGGGGAUAACGUAGAGAAAUUUACGCUAAUACCGCAUACGAUCUAAGGAUGAAAGCGGGGGACUCGCAAGAGCCUCGCGCGAUUGGAGCGGCUGAUAUCAGAUUAGGUUGUUGGUGAGGUAAAAGCUCACCAAGCCGACGAUCUGUAGCUGGUUUGAGAGAACGACCAGCCACACUGGGACUGAGACACGGCCCAGACUCCUACGGGAGGCAGCAGUGGGGAAUUUUGGACAAUGGGCGAAAGCCUGAUCCAGCAAUGCCGCGUGCAGGAAGAAGGCCUUCGGGUUGUAAACUGCUUUUGUACGGAACGAAACGGUCUGCCCUAAUACGGUGGGCUAAUGACGGUACCGUAAGAAUAAGCACCGGCUAACUACGUGCCAGCAGCCGCGGUAAUACGUAGGGUGCGAGCGUUAAUCGGAAUUACUGGGCGUAAAGCGUGCGCAGGCGGUUCUAUAAGACAGAUGUGAAAUCCCCGGGCUCAACCUGGGAAUGGCAUUUGUGACUGUAGAGCUAGAGUACGGUAGAGGGGGAUGGAAUUCCGCGUGUAGCAGUGAAAUGC